GGAGGGUGCAAGCGUUGUUCGGAAUUACUGGGCGUAAAGCGCGCGUAGGCGGCUUCUUAUGUCGGGUGUGAAAGCCCUGGGCCUAACCCAGGAAGUGCGCCCGAAACUGAGAAGCUUGGGUACGAGAGAGGAGGACGGAAUUCCCAGUGUAGAGGUGAAAUUCGUAGAUAUUGGGAAGAACACCGGUGGCGAAAGCGGUUCUCUGGAUCGAUACUGACGCUAAGGCGCGAAAGCGUGGGGAGCAAACAGGAUUAGAUACCCUGGUAGUCCACGCCGUAAACGAUGGAUAUUAGUUGUUGCGGGCUUAUAAACUCGCAGUGACGACGCUAACGCAUUAAAUAUCCCGCCUGGGGACUACGGCCGCAAGGUUA
rnacentral:rRNA from 1 species